rnacentral:misc_RNA from 1 species
AAGCCUUGAUUUCUUUCUCUUUGAUUCAAACAAGGAUGUUCAACUUGAUUGGCAAAGACGUCUUAGCACUAUUAAUGGAGUUGCCAGAGGCCUCUUGUAUCUACACGAAGAUUCUAGUCUUAGGAUUAUUCACAGAGACCUAAAAACCAGCAAUAUUUUGCUCGACUAUGACAUGAAUCCAAAGAUUUCAGACUUUGGAAUGGCAAGGAUUUUUGGUGAAAAUCAAAGUGAAGCUAAUACAAAUAGAGUUGUUGGAACAUAUGGAUAUAUGGCCC